GACGAACGCUGGCGGCAGGCUUAACACAUGCAAGUCGAGCGGUGCGGCUGCCGGGUGAGUGCUGCCUAGUAAUCUGCCUGGUAGCGGGUGAUAACGUCCGGCAACGGGCGCUAAUAUCGCAUACUACCCGAUGAGCCUAGGUCGGAUUAGCUGGUUGGUGGGGUAAAGGCCUACCAAGUCGACGAUCCGUAACUGGUCUGAGAGGAUGAUCAGUCAGACUGGAACUGAGACACGGUCCAGACUCCUACGGGAGGCAGCAGUGGGGAAGAUUGGACAAUGGGCGAAAGCCUGAUCCAGCCAUGCCGCGUGUGUGAAGAAGGUCUUCGGAUUGUAAAGCACUUUAAGUUGGGAGGCGUUACCAACAGAAUAAGCACCGGCUAACUUCGUGCCAGCAGCCGCGGUAAUAC
rnacentral:rRNA from 1 species